ACCUCCAAAUCCGGGAUAACCUUGUUAACGCGGGGCUAAUACCGGAUGUGGUCCCAUGAUUCAUGAUUGUGGGAUUAAAGAUGACCUCUAUUUAUAAGUUAUCGCUUGGAGAUGAGCUUGCGGCCCAUUAGCUAGUUGGCGGGGUAAUAGCCCACCAAGGCUGUGAUGGGUAGCCGGCCUGAGAGGGUGUACGGCCACAUUGGGACUGAGAUACGGCCCAGACUCCUUCGGGAGGCAGCAGUAGGGAAUUUUGCGCAAUGGACGAAAGUCUGACGCAGCAACGCCGCGUGAGUGAUGAAGGUCUUCGGAUUGUAAAACUCUGUUGAGUGGGAAGAAAAGUUUCAGGUACAAUAUGCCUGGAGCCUGACGGUACCAUUCGAGGAAGCCCCGGCUAACUACGUGCCAGCAGCCGCGGUAAUACGUAGGGGGCGAGCGUUGUUCGGAAUUACUGGGCGUAAAGGGAGCGUAGGCGGGUCAGUAAGUUAGGAGUUUAAUGCACAGGCUUAACCUGUGACUUGCUCUUAAUACUGCUGAUCUUGAGUAUGGAAGAGGGAGAUGGAAUUCCAGGUGUAGCGGUGGAAUGCGUAGAUAUCUGGAAGAACACCAUUAGCGAAGGCGGUCUCCUGGUCCAAUACUGACGCUGAGGCUCGAAAGCUAGGGGAGCAAACAGGAUUAGAUACCCUGGUAGUCCUAGCUGUAAACUAUGGAUACUAGAUGUUGUGGGAGUCAAUCUUUCCAGCGUCGUCGCUAACGCAUUAAGUAUCCCGCCUGGGAAGUACGCCCGCAAGGGUGAAACUCAAAGGAAUUGACGGGGGCCCGCACAAGCGGUGGAGCAUGUGCUUUAAUUCGACAACGCGAAGAACCUUACCUGGGUUUGGCAUGGGAGUGAAAGUUUCCAGAGAUGGAGGCCUUUCCGCAAGGAACACUCUACACAGGUGCUGCAUGGUUGUCGUCAGCUCGUGUCGUGAGAUGUUUGGUUAAGUCCAGCAACGAGCGCAACCCUCGCCCUUAGUUGCCAUCAGGUAACGCUGGGAACUCUAAGGGGACCGCCUAGUUUAACUAGGAGGAAGGUGGGGAUGACGUCAAAUCAUCAUGGCCCUUACGUCCAGGGCUAGACACGUGCUACAAUGGCCGGUACAAUGGGAUGCAAGAUCGCGAGAUUAAGCUAAUCCCACAAAACCGGUCUCAGUUCGGAUUGGAGUCUGCAAUUUGACUCCAUGAAGCUGGAAUCGCUAGUAAUCGUGGAUCAGCAUGCCACGGUGAAUACGUUCCCGGGCCUUGUACACACCGCCCGUCAAGCCAUGAAAGAUGGCAGUACCCGAAGUUGCUUCUCUAACCCGCAAGGGGUGAGUGCACCUAAGGUAAGGCCAUUGAUUGG
rnacentral:rRNA from 1 species